GACGAACGCUGGCGGCGUGCCUAAUACAUGCAAGUGGGACGCAAGGAAACACACUGUGCUUGCACACCGUGUUUUCUUGAGUCGCGAACGGGUGAGUAACGCGUAGGUAACCUGCCUAUUAGCGGGGGAUAACUAUUGGAAACGAUAGCUAAUACCGCAUAAUAUUAAUUAUUGCAGGAUAAUUGAUUGUAAGAUGCAAGCGCAUCACUAGUAGAUGGACCUGCGUUGUAUUAGCUAGUUGGUAAGGUAAGAGCUUACCAAAGCGACGAUACAUAGCCGACCUGAGGGGGUGAUCGGCCACACUGGGACUGAGACACGGCCCAGACUCCUACGGGAGGCAGCAGUAGGGAAUCUUCGGCAAUAGGCGAAAGUCUGACCGAGCAACGCCGCGUGAGUGGAGAAGGUUUUCGGAUCGUAAAGCUCUGUUGUAAGUCAAGAACGUGUGUGAGAGUGGAAAGUUCACACAGUGACGGUAGCUUACCAGAAAGGGACGGCUAACUACGUG
rnacentral:rRNA from 1 species